rnacentral:rRNA from 1 species
GGAGUCUGGACCGUUUCUCAGUUCCAAUGUGGCCGUUCAACCUCUCAGUUCGGCUAAUGAUCGUUGAUUUGGUGGGCCGUUACCCCGCCAACUGUCUAAUCAUACGCGAGCCCAUCGUACAGCAAUUUCUCUUUGGCAUAGAAAACAUGCGAUCCCUAUGCGUUAUGCGGUAUUAGCACAAGUUUCCCUGUGUUAUCCCCCUCUGUACGGCAGGUUGCUCACGCGUUACUCACCCGUCCGCCACUAAGUCUUGGCUAUCAAUUGACCGAAGUCUCUUUCAAGCUAGCUUCGUUCGACUUGCAUGUGUUAGGCACGCCGCCAGCGUUCAUCCUGAGCCAUGAUCAAAACUCU